GGGCGCCCCCCUGGCUGAACCCACUGCACCCUCCACUUCCCAGGGGAAGGGAAAAUAAGAACCGCGUCGUCGCUGCACCCCCUCCCCAGGAUCUGCAGAGCACACCCGCCUCUCGUCUCCCACGUGGGUCUUCGUGCUGUGUGGACUUCGGCUCUUGCAGAAGGCACCUGUUGGGGAGAAUGAAUUUGAAUUUAUUUCUCAAGAUACAUUCCAGGGC
rnacentral:lncRNA from 1 species